rnacentral:rRNA from 1 species
UAGAGUUUGAUCCUGGCUCAGAGCGAACGCUGGCGGAAUGCUUAACACAUGCAAGUCGCACGGGCAGCAAUGUCAGUGGCGGACGGGUGAGUAACGCGUAGGAAUGUGUCCUGAGAUGGGGGACAACGCCGGGAAACUGGCGCUAAUACCGCAUAUGUCCUGAGGGACAAAGCCGCGAGGCGUCUUAGGAGCAGCCUGCGUCCGAUUAGCUUGUUGGUGGGGUAAAGGCUUACCAAGGCGACGAUCGGUAGCUGGUCUGAGAGGAUGAUCAGCCACACUGGAACUGAGACACGGUCCAGACUCCUACGGGAGGCAGCAGUGGGGAAUAUUGGACAAUGGGCGCAAGCCUGAUCCAGCAAUUCCGCGUGGGUGAAGAAGGUCUUCGGAUUGUAAAGCCCUUUCGACGGGGACGAUGAUGACGGUACCCGUAGAAGAAGCCCCGGCUAACUUCGUGCCAGCAGCCGCGGUAAUACGAAGGGGGCUAGCGUUGCUCGGAAUGACUGGGCGUAAAGGGCGCGUAGGCGGCACACAUAGUCAGGCGUGAAAUUCCUGGGCUUAACCUGGGGGCUGCGUUUGAUACAUGUGAGCUAGAGGAUGGAAGAGGCUCGUGGAAUUCCCAGUGUAGAGGUGAAAUUCGUAGAUAUUGGGAAGAACACCGGUGGCGAAGGCGGCGAGCUGGUCCAUUACUGACGCUGAGGCGCGA